AAGAUUGUAACCUUGGAGGUUGGCUCUUGUCUAUGUUUCUUGGAACAGGACGUCACAGAGGGUGAGAAUCCCGUGCGAUGAGAUGCCCAAUUCUAUGUAAGGUGCUUUCGAAGAGUCGAGUUGUUUGGGAAUGCAGCUCUAAGUGGGUGGUAAAUUCCAUCUAAAGCUAAAUAUUGGCGAGAGACCGAUAGCGAACAAGUACAGUGAUGGAAAGAUGAAAAGAACUUUGAAAAGAGAGUGAAAAAGUACGUGAAAUUGUUGAAAGGGAAGGGUUUGAGAUCAGACUCGAUAUUUUGUGAGCCCUUGCCUUCGUGGCGGGGUGACCCGCAGCUUUAUCGGGCCAGCAUCGGUUUUGGGGCGGUANGAUAAUGGGCGUAGGAAAUGUGACUUUACUUCGGGUGAAGUGUUUAUAGCCUGCGUUGAUGGCUGGCCUGCUAGACCGAGGACUGCGAUUUUAUCAAGGAUGCUGGCAUUAUGAUUCCAACGGCCGUCUUGAAC
rnacentral:rRNA from 1 species